rnacentral:rRNA from 1 species
ACACACACAAAAAACCACUGUCGUCAGUCUAGAUCCAUAAGUCUCUUUUGUUUCCCUUUAUAGACCUGGUGAUAAAACCAAUAGCGAGACCUAUGUUCGAGUGAACGUUGGUAAAUACCGAUUACUCCCGUCAGAAGGGCACACUGACUCGUAACGUUACGAAAGGUACGGUCUAUAGAAGAGGUAGGUUCUUUGACAAUGGGCUACGAGGUCUACCUCCUUAUCUUUCGUUGACUUUCGGACUCUGAACGUUAAAGUCAGUCUCUCGUUGGUGUACCGUCUGUCGCCCGUCAAGCACCAGUGGUAACCAGACUGCUUGUAGUUGUGGUGCUCCGUUCUAGGGUAGUUACAGCGUAGGUCGUCUUUAAACAAUGGGAGAUCGGUACAUAAGUCGAGGUCGUUACAGCGUAGGUCGCCUUUAAAUAAUGGGGGACCGGUACUUAGGUCGAGGUCCUAGUUACUACGAAAACUCGAGAACACCCCUGUAGCAUUUAUAAACCAUGACGAACCUCAGGAUCGUCAACCACACUGUAUGUUACGACCUAAUUGUGGUGGUCCCCCUAGCACCUGUGAUUUGUUCCUACCGGUACUACGACCACUGGGACAGUACGUACUACCGAAAAGACUUGCCAUACUCCACAAGAAAAUGACGUUACGUCGUCGGAAACGACGUAGAGAACAGAAUUAGUAGAACGAAGAGUCGUUCUCACACUGUUUAGUCUCCUACACCGAGGUAAGUUACGUUAACUGGUACUGUGACCUGGACAAGUCGGACGACCCCCGAAUACGACGACCUUCAACGUCCUGUGAGUUCAGUAGGUAAAUGUAGAACCAAGAUCAGGAACGACAAUAGUAUAUACAACCCUAGGUAUGAGAUCAUAGGUGUUCCAAAUAAGGUUCUCUUUAAUUUGUCUUAGACGUCUGUUACUAUUUAUCACAAGAUUUGGUUGCCGCAAGGGAACCGUCCGUUCUCUCAUAGGGAGAUCUCUUUCGGCAAGUCCUCCAAGCGUUCAAGUAAAACUGCGAACAUUAAAAACGACGAUGAUAGUGUAUGGUUCGUCCUAACUUAGGUGGCCCGCCGAAAACCCGACUUUUACUGGUACCAAGAUUAUUCCACGUAUACCGGAAAGGAGGAAUGUUCGUAGUAGGCCCAUGAAGACAAGAGGCCUCAUUGAUGGAACCAGCAAUAUUAUAUAAGUAGUAGAGGUUAAGUUGAAGGAAACACCGUAGAAACCAGUAUUAGUAUGACGAAGACUCGGGUUUUGACUCACCUGUACCUUAUUCCUGGUUUCGUCACUAACAUACACACCAUCACCUGGAUGACCCGGAUUAACAACGCAUACGACGUCCUACAACAUCUCUCCAUCGUUGUAGUAAGAAACACCACAGAUAAAAGAAGUAUCAAACCUAAAGGAAGCGUCAAAAUCGACCUAAUAAACAAGUCCCUGGACAUCGUUUAACCGAUGUUCUCCAGUUUAGUUCGUCGGACACAACACACUUUUUUUACCCGGCACGUGAAAGUAACUCGAAAGCACCGGUGUCUAGCUAGUUACGUCUCGUCCCCUUAAGACACCGUUCCUUAGUAGUUAGGGGUCGGGCAAGUUGACUACGUGGACGUCUUCUAUUAUGGGGACUCGUUGUUCUCGUCGGACGUCUGUUAGUCGUUGUUAGUUUAUAGUCUGUCCCACUUAAGGUACUCAACGUACAUGGACGUCUUUUUUCAGUUUAAAGUCUACAAGUUCUCCGACACAGAUUGUGUGUCGUAGGCAGUCCCUUGUCGGUCGUUAGUCGUUUAUAAGUCCUACAACACAGGUUGGGCCUCACGGUCAGAGGUCUACAGGUCGCACAACGUUUGUACCUCCUCCUACACAGGUCGAGUGUCGUAGGACGUCCCUUGACAGUUGCUGGUCUUGUACGGUUCCUACAACACAGAUUGUACCUCAUGGGUAAUGAUUCGGUGGUCGUUUGACUUUUAUCGUACACACCAUACAGUCGAUUGGUCUUUCAACGUUCAUACCCCUUCGUUAGAAGUAGACUACUAGGGCUGUACUGACGAGAAGGUCAACUCGUUUUAUACGGACAGUCCGUCUCACUACCUCUGUGAUCAUCACUGUAUCACCUACUUCCCGAGAGACGUGGACACCUUCGGUUACCGUUACACCUGAGACGACUUGUUUUGUUAGACCAACUUCUAUUAUUGGGUCUCUAAACACCGUCAGUACUGGUAGGAUGUGUAAGACUCUUACGGGUAUAACUGUCGUUAGUUCCUCAUGGGUUAGUUUUACGACUGCUGUACGUUUGACUCUUCGUGGACUUCUUCUGGGCGUGAACAUACAACGAAGAACGGUAAGAACGUCAUAGAGACCGUAUGGUUAGUCCGGACUUAGGUGGUCCACCGAAAACCAGUUCUUCAUUUCUAGUAGUAAGUCGACGACUAGCGUAGGAACUCCUGUGGGUGGUAGCGGCCAAGUAACGUAAGAAGAUAGAGUUGCGUUAGCGGAAACACCGUAGGUAACAGUACUAAUGAAACGAGAACUUGUUCUACCGUUCGCUGUUCCAAUGGUUUGCCGCACGUAACGGUUAUUGCUACUAUCACCAGGAUGAAAGGGAUUGACCUCGAAAACGAGACCCCUUGACGUCCCUCCGUUUCUUCUGAUAAAAGUAUAGUCACGAGCAUACGUGACACGAACGAAUACAAGAGUAAGUACAGAACUAUCGUCAUGUAUAUUAAGGAGGUCUUACCUCUUCAGUCCAUCGUCUCUACGAUCUCGUCAGUCAAUCAGAAAAAACGAGCCACGGUGCAGUUAGUCCGCUGUUGGUCUGACCCUCACCAUGAUCAAUCUUCCUCAACCCUUCCGCCGCAUUAGACGAUAACUGGUAACGAUAAAAUCGACACUGACAGUGUAUGGUUCGACCGUACUUGGGAGGUCCUCCACAGACCAGACUACUGUUCCUACGGUGCCCUUGAGGUCCGUUAGGUUAGGAAGUCCUAUGGGUAGGUUUUGCGAUACUACACAAGAUGAUGAGUUUAAGUCAAAGUAAACACAGCAGACACCAGCAGUGUUAUAAUGAACACUUAUUCCUUAGGACACUCAUACCUUAGUUCAGGAUACGUGACGCUCACACAAACCACCGCCCGAACGAACCGGAGGAGUAACGGAUACAACGACCUUCAACGUCUUUAUAAUUUGUCAGGUAUAUAGACUCGUAGUAACGAUACCGUCAAGAUCACAGUGAAGACUAAGUUCAAGACGAGAGAAGUUACGUACCGUGUGAUCCUUCUGGUAACCGAUUCACAGAUCACAAAGAUGUGCUAGAAGAGAAAGUACGCCUCCCACUUGCUCAUUAUUGAGUGUACUCCGGUCAUCGAAGUCAACAGCUUCUUUUUUUUCACUCUUUCUCUGUGUUCAUAGACUACGAAGAACGUUAAAAUCGUCGUAGCUAGCGUAUGGUUCGACCAGACUUGGAUGGACCACCUAAGACCAGACUACUACUCCCGGUACAUGGUCCGUUAGGGCAGGAAGCACUAUAAUUAGUGGCUGCCAUGUUCUAGAAGAAGACCAAGUUAAGAAAGCGAAAGUACCGUAGGUAACAGCACUAGUACGAAGACGACUCAUUUAGAUAGUCCUUCCGACACGGUGAACCCCAUAACGUGAACUAGUACUAUGACCUAUACAACCGAGAGUACUGUCGAAAACGACACCCUUCGACGGCGUUUAACUCCUGAAGUCACAUACAGAUACGUGAUCAACCGCCGCAACAUCAUUAGGACGACGAGGAUUAAUAACACUGUUCACGUUAACGUUUUAUAGCCUUCGGUUCUCUCCCUUUACCCUAAUUGAGGGGCUCUGUAGGACUUGGACAAAGUCCUCGUUUGUGUGGUCGUGCUGGACUUCAAACUACGAGGGAAAAAUGUUCUUGGGAUAAGUAGAUCCUUAGAUAUAGAGAUAUAAUAGACGUUUGUUAAACACACAGAGGACAGUCGUAAAAAGAAGUACAAAACUGGACUUGUGACCACAACGACGGACAACAUCAAGAACCGUUAAUAAAAUCGUAUGAACUUUAAACUCGAACUCGGAAUUUUGACGUAUAACCCAUGUAGUAGUACAUUACCUCGAUGUUCGUCCGUUACUACUAAUAGAAGUAAUAGCAGUACAUUGCUCGCUCUUAAAUCUCGACAUAAAGCGAUACUUUCUAUCAUGGUGUAAUCGGAGUCCACCGGAAGGUAUAAAGACCGAAGUCAUAAGAACGUGGAAUACAAGAAGAUUGUAGUCGAACUCGACAAUACAAGUAGGUAAACACCCUACU